AGAGUUUGAUCAUGGCUCAGAGCGAACGCUGGCGGCAGGCCUAACACAUGCAAGUCGAGCGCCGUAGCAAUACGGAGCGGCAGACGGGAGAGUAACACGUGGGAACGUGCCCUUCAGUCCGGAACAACCCAGGGAAACUUGGGCUAAUACCGGAUACGUCCGAAAGGAGAAAGAUUUAUCGCUGAAGGAUCGGCCCGCGUCUGAUUAGCUUGUUGGUGAGGUAACGGCUCACCAAGGCGACGAUCAGUAGCUGGUCUGAGAGGAUGAUCAGCCUCACUGGGACUGAGACACGGCCCAGACUCCUACGGGAGGCAGCAGUGGGGAAUAUUGGACAAUGGGCGCAAGCCUGAUCCAGCCAUGCCGCGUGGAUGAUGAAGGCCCUAAGGUUGUAAAGUCCUUUCGGCGGGGAAGAUAAUGACGGUACCCGCAGAAGAAGCCCCGGCUAACUUCGUGCCAGCAGCCGCGGUAAUACGAAGGGGGCUAGCGUUGCUCGGAAUCACUGGGCGUAAAGCGCACGUAGGCGGCUUUUUAAGUCAGGGGUGAAAUCCUGGAGCUCAACUCCAGAACUGCCUUUGAUACUGAGAAGCUUGAGUCCGGGAGAGGUGAGUGGAACUGCGAGUGUAGAGGUGAAAUUCGUAGAUAUUCGCAAGAACACCAGUGGCGAAGGCGGCUCACUGGCCCGGUACUGACGCUGAGGUGCGAAAGCGUGGGGAGCAAACAGGAUUAGAUACCCUCGUAGUCC
rnacentral:rRNA from 1 species